rnacentral:rRNA from 1 species
CCCUUAGACGUUCUGGGCCGCACGCGCGCUACACUGACCAGUGCAACAAGCAUCCGGCCUUGGCCGACAGGCCCGGGCAAUCUUUGAACGCUGGUCGUGAUGGGGAUAGACUUUUGCAAUUUUUGGUCUUCAACGAGGAAUUCCUAGUAAACGCAAGUCAUCAACUUGCAUUGAUUACGUCCCUGCCCUUUGUACACACCGCCCGUCGCACCUACCGAUUGAAUGGUCCGGUGAAGCCUCCGGAUUGGCGCGCACCUCGGUGCCGCCGAGAAGUUGGCUAAACCUUACCAUUUAGAGGAAGGUGAAGUCGUAACA